UGGGGAAUAUUGGACAAUGGGGGGCAACCCUGAUCCAGCCAUGCCGCGUGAGUGAUGAAGGCCUUCGGGUUGUAAAGCUCUUUUGGCGGGGACGAUGAUGACGGUACCCCGCAGAAUAGGCCCCGGCUAACUUCGUGCCAGCAGCCGCGGUAAGACGAAGGGAGCUAGCGUUGUUCGGAAUUACUGGGCGUAAAGCGAGUGUAGGCGGUUGCCGUAGUCAGGUGUGAAAGCCUUGAGCUCAACUCAAGAAAUGCACUUGAUACUGGGUGACUAGAGGACCGGAGAGGAUAGUGGAAUUCCCAGUGUAGUGGUGAAAUACGUAGAGAUUGGGAAGAACACCAGUGGCGAAGGCGGCUAUCUGGACGGUUACUGACGCUAAGACUCGAAAGCGUGGGGAGCAAACAGGAUUAGAUACCCUGGUAGUCCACGCCGUAAACGAUGGGUGCUAGACGUUGGCGAGCUUGCUCGUCAGUGUCGCAGCUAACGCGUUAAGCACCCCGCCUGGGGGAGUACGGCCGCAAGGUUGAAACUCAAAUGAAUUGACGGGGGUCAAGUGUUUUCCUG
rnacentral:rRNA from 1 species